rnacentral:rRNA from 1 species
UCCGUAGGUGAACCUGCGGAAGGAUCAUUAUCGUAACAAAAUGUGAGGGGCAUGUGAGGGCUGUCGCUGACUCAAUGUCGUGCACGCCCGAGCGUGUCCUCUCACAUAAUAAUCCAUCUCACCCUUUGUGCAUCGCCGCGUGGGCACCCUUUGGGAUCAUCUCGGAGGGGGCUCGCGUUUUCACACAAACCCCCCUUUUAAAAGUGUAGAAUGACCUCAUUUAUGCGCUAACCCGCAAUCAAUACAACUUUCAACAACGGAUCUCUUGGCUCUCGCAUCGAUGAAGAACGCAGCGAAAUGCGAUACGUAAUGUGAAUUGCAGAAUUCAGUGAAUCAUCGAAUCUUUGAACGCACCUUGCGCCCCUUGGUAUUCCGAGGGGCACACCCGUUUGAGUGUCGUGAAAACCUCAACCUCCUUGGUUUCUUCUGGAGACCAAAGCAGGCUUGGACUUUGGAGGCCUUUGCUGGCACCUCUCUCUUUUGAAGGUCAGCUCCUCUUAAAUGAAUUAGCAGGGUCCUCUUUGCUGAUCCUCGACGUGUGAUAAGAUGUUUCCAUGUCUUGGUUUCUGGCUCUGUCACUCUUGGGACCCGCUUCUAACCGUCUUGACCUUGCGUCGAGACAAUGUUCGAGCAUGUCUCCCAUCUCGGGAAGCUCCCUCGACCCCACGAACCCUUGACCUCAAAUCGGGUGAGACUGCCCGCUGAACUUAAGCAUAUCAAUAAGCGGAGGA